AAAAACGCCUAACACCUAACUAACGGGAUAGUUAAUGUCCAAAAACUGUAUUUUUUCUUUUUCUUCUUCUUCGCGUUCCUCUUUUUUUUUCUUUUUUUUUUUCUUCUUCUUCUUCAUGUUCUGUCCUCUUUUUUUUUUUUUUUCUUUUUUUUUUUCUCCUUCUUGUAUAAAGAUUGUUGCUUUUGGUGGAGGAAUUAAAUUAUGGGUACCUAACCAAUAUUUGAAAGGUAAGCCUUCUAUUAAUUCAUGGGUUUUCAUUUUCUGUGGUUUUUCUCAUUCCUUUGCUAUGAAGAACGAAAUAGAGAGUUUCAUAAUUUAUGUUGGGUUUUGUUAUGGCGUAUUGUUUGUCAAAGAUGGUUUUGUUUUCAAUGGAUUUUCGUUGUGAUGCUUAUUGCUUUGUGAUGGUGGAGCAAGAAGGUGAAACAAAAGGGAGAAGAGGAUAGAACGGGUAGCAAGGAGGAAAAAAGAGAAGAGGACAGAAGUGAAGAAGAAGAAGAAGAAGAAGAAGAGAGAGAAAAUAAAAAAAAAACUUUUGGAUGUUAACUAUCCCGUUAGUUGGUUGUUAGGGUUUUUUUUAUAUUUUUUAAUUAGGAGUAAUUUGGAUUUUUGUUUUAGAAUGAUGUGUCAACUUUUAAAUCCGUUAGAUUAAAUUUUAAUGAGGUGGCGUAUGGAGAAUAAAAGUAAAGCAAAUCAUGACAGAGAAAAUUAGAACAGAGAAUCCAGAUCCCUCAUUUUCAAUCAAACGCAACCAACACUACUUUUACAAAAGGCAAUUAAACGAAUCGACAAAUCUGUAUAAGAAAAAUCAUAUUUGAACCUUCUCAUCCAAAAGAUACCUAAAAAAAAG
rnacentral:lncRNA from 1 species